CUGUGGCAAACAAUGGAGGCCUGGGGAAAACAGCAAAUGGGCAGCUUGUUUGCAGCGCCACGUCUUACAGCUGCGCACAUGUGCCCUCAACAACCGAGCUGGAGAACUGGGUGACAUUCAGCGCCACUUGCCACACCUGGUCUGUGAAACACGCCGCUUUGAGAACGUCAGAACUGUUUAAGCUGCACACAAAAGACGGCCAAGAAAUAUCUCAGACUAUAACGCUG